rnacentral:rRNA from 1 species
AUAGGGGAGCCGGAGGGAAACCGAGUCUUAAUUGGGCGUUAAGUUGCAGGGUAUAGACCCGAAACCCGGUGAUCUAGCCAUGGGCAGGUUGAAGGUUGGGUAACACUAACUGGAGGACCGAACCGACUAAUGUUGAAAAAUUAGCGGAUGACCUGUGGCUGGGGGUGAAAGGCCAAUCAAACCGGGAGAUAGCUGGUUCUCCCCGAAAGCUAUUUAGGUAGCGCCUCGUGAAUUCAUCUCCGGGGGUAGAGCACUGUUUCGGCUAGGGGGCCAUCCCGGCUUACCAACCCGAUGCAAACUGCGAAUACCGGAGAAUGUUAUCACGGGAGACACACGGCGGGUGCUAACGUCCGUCGUGAAGAGGGAAACAACCCAGACCGCCAGCUAAGGUCCCAAAGUCAUGGUUAAGUGGGAAACGAUGUGGGAAGGCCCAGACAGCCAGGAUGUUGGCUUAGAAGCAGCCAUCAUUUAAAGAAAGCGUAAUAGCUCACUGGUCGAGUCGGCCUGCGCGGAAGAUGUAACGGGGCUAAACCAUGCACCGAAGCUGCGGCAGCGACACUGUGUGUUGUUGGGUAGGGGAGCGUUCUGUAAGCCUGCGAAGGUGGCCUGUGAGGGUUGCUGGAGGUAUCAGAAGUGCGAAUGCUGACAUAAGUAACGAUAAAGCGGGUGAAAAGCCCGCUCGCCGGAAGACCAA